GUACCCGUAGCUCAAUUGGAUAGAGUACUUGGCUACGGACCAAGGGGUUGGGGGUUCGAGUCCCUCCGGGUACGCCA
rnacentral:tRNA from 1 species